UACAGAGGGUGCGAGCGUUAAUCGGAAUUACUGGGCGUAAAGCGCGCGUAGGCGGCUUUGCAAGUCGGGUGUGAAAUCCCCAGGCUUAACCUGGGAACUGCAUUCGAGACUGCAUUGCUAGAGUAUGGGAGAGGGAAGUGGAAUUUCCGGUGUAGCGAUGAAAUGCGUAGAUAUCGGAAGGAACAUCAGUGGCGAAAGCGACUUCCUGGACCAAUACUGACGCUCAUGAUGCGAAAGCGUGGGGGAGCAAACAGG
rnacentral:rRNA from 1 species